rnacentral:tRNA from 1 species
UGGGGUGUCGCCAAGUGGUAAGGCCCUGGGUUUUGAUUCCAGUAUUGCGUAGGUUCGAUCCCUACCUCCCCAG